AGUGAACGCUGGCGGCGUGCUUAACACAUGCAAGUCGAACGAGAACGGGAUAUAGCUUGCUAUAUUUGUCAGCUAAGUGGCGCACGGGUGAGUAAUGUAUAGGUAAUAUGCCUCUUACUAAGGGAUAACAAUUGGAAACGAUUGCUAAUACCUUAUAUGCCUUUAAGACUAAAGUCUGCAAGGGAAAGAUUUAUUGGUAAGAGAUUAGCCUGUAUUGUAUCAGCUAGUUGGUGAGGUAAUGGCUCACCAAGGCUAUGACGCAUAACUGGUUUGAGAGGAUGAUCAGUCACACUGGAACUGAGACACGGUCCAGACUCCUACGGGAGGCAGCAGUGGGGAAUAUUGCACAAUGGACGAAAGUCUGAUGCAGCAACGCCGCGUGGAGGAUGACACAUUUCGGUGCGUAAACUCCUUUUAUAUAGGAAGAUAAUGACGGUACUAUAUGAAUAAGCACCGGCUAACUCCGUGCCAGCCGCCGCUGUAACAC
rnacentral:rRNA from 1 species